rnacentral:lncRNA from 10 species
GCUGGAGAGAAUGAGCUUGGAGCCGCAGGGCUUAAUCCCGCGCGGCUCAGAGAUGGGUUUCUGGACUCGCGAAGCAGCUGCAACAAGGCAUCACUCACUGUAUAAGUAUUUCCAUUUCUGAGAGCAAAAGGAAGAACUUAAGCGGGCGGCACUUGGAGUGUAAAUUGCUUUGUAGUAUUUAAAGGCAGAAUGGAUCCUGGGCAGCCGAGCUGCAACAAACCGGCAGGACUUCCUGUGAAAUCAUGACCACCAUGUGCUCUUUCAGCCUCUAUCAGUUCCUACCUCUAAGCACCUGAGAGCCAAAGCAAACCACAGGAAACCACAGGCCUUUGGAGUCAGACUGGAACUACAGCAUUGACUCUUCCGGAACUCCAGCUUACUGACUACAGAUCUUGGAACUUUUCAGCUUCCACAACCAUAUAAGGGGUUUCACCUUGUUGCCCAAGCUGGUCUUGAAGUUCUGGGCUCAAGCGAUCUGCCUGCAUUAGCCUCCUAAAGUUCUGGGAUUACCAACAUGAGCUACCAUGCCUGGGUCAAAGCCAUUCUCUGAGCUGAAGAAAAACUACAAAAGAUAGAAACUCAGAUGUGC